UGUGCAGAGGGACUGGCUCUGACCCAUGGGCUCUAGGACAUAUUUUCUUGGAUGGCUUUUCCAGCAUUGCAACUGAUUUUCACUGACGCAUUCAGACCUUUAUCCAGCCCCCUUGCGACAUGACUGGCUGAGCUCAGCGAGUUCAUGUUACCUUUAUUGUUUAAGCCAAGACACAGGACCAAAGGGGCCCUGAACCUAAGGGCCAAGCUCACCGCCAAAGCCCUUUCAUGAAGACCUACAGGUCGCACAAGACUCUGUUCUCCAUUAGGAAUGCCUUGGCCACUCCUCUCCACAUCAGAAUCCCACCAACGCCACCUCCCUGACAAGCUAUUCCUGUUCAGAACUUGAACUCUUUUACCACCCCCAUUCGAUUUGCCUAGUAGACUUGAUGUGAUUAAAUCCUGUAGAAAUUUGAGCACCUAAGAAUAACAAGAAUAAUCUUAAAUUAGCACGCCAUGCUACAUUUUCCUAAAGGACUUUCACACACAUUUUCUCAAAUGGAUACUGCAAUGUGACAACGCAAUGCCUUGGAGGAGUGGUUAAGGAUAAAGGCCUACAGGUGGAAAAUGAAAGCAAAAAGGCAAAAGUUGGGGUAUUUUUUUUUAAAUGUCUCCAUUUUCUAUUCCCACACAAAAGGCAAAUGAGAUUCCACCUGCUGACUUUCCUUUCCUGCCUACACCUCACCCAGGCUAAUGUCAGAACAAGCUGGGGGAGAGGGAGAGAGACGACAAUUUCACCUCUUGGCAAAGCUCAGCUUACUGAGCCCUCUUGCUUUCUGCUGGCUGUUGAUUCAGCAGAAACUACCGCUGCAGAAUUCAUAAUGGUGAUUUUUAAAGGCUCCACGGAUCGCAUCGCUCUCCCACGUGUCAGACUCAUUCGCUUGCAGCCCCAACCCUGGUUCCCCAGCCACCUUUCGAUACCUUACUAAUGCACUUCCAAGAGGAGAGGGGUUCGCCCUUUUUCAGGCCUUUUGGGCUUUUGAUUGUCUGAGCAGGUAACCCGGCCGGAGAGAUGAACCGGCAGGAAAUGAAACCGUGCCCGCCCUGCAGCCACUGAGAGACGCAUCAUUCCACUCCGGGAGGGAGGACUCGAGGUUUUCUUGGGCCCCUUUCCUUCUUACCUCCCCACAAGACCUCUGCAUACAUCUAGGGGGAGGGGUCAACCGCCUUUGGGGGGGGGGUCAUUUUUCCAGCCGGG